rnacentral:rRNA from 1 species
UACGAAGGGGGCUAGCGUUGCUCGGAAUGACUGGGCGUAAAGGGCGCGUAGGCGGGCUGUACAGUCAGGUGUGAAAUUCCCGGGCUCAACCUGGGGGCGGCACUUGAUACGUAGGGUCUGGAGUGAGGAAGAGGGUCGUGGAAUUCCCAGUGUAGAGGUGAAAUUCGUAGAUAUUGGGAAGAACACCGGUGGCGAAGGCGGCGACCUGGUCCUUUUACUGACGCUGAGGCGCGAAAGCGUGGGGAGCAAACAGG